rnacentral:rRNA from 1 species
GGAAUUGACGGGGGCCCGCACAAGCAGUGGAGUAUGUGGUUUAAUUCGAAGCAACGCGAAGAACCUUACCAGGUCUUGACAUCCAACUAACGAGGCAGAGAUGCGUCAGGUGCCCUUCGGGGAAAGUUGAGACAGGUGGUGCAUGGUUGUCGUCAGCUCGUGUCGUGAGAUGUUGGGUUAAGUCCCGCAACGAGCGCAACCCUUAUGAUUAGUUGCUACGCAAGAGCACUCUAAUCAGACUGCCGUUGACAAAACGGAGGAAGGUGGGGACGACGUCAAAUCAUCAUGCCCCUUAUGACCUGGGCUACACACGUACUACAAUGGCCAUUAACAGAGGGAAGCAAGACCGCGAGGUGGAGCAAACCCUAAAAAUGGUCUCAGUUCGGAUCGCAGGCUGAAACCCGCCUGCGUGAAGCUGGAAUUGCUAGUAAUCGCGGAUCAUCAUGCCGCGGUGAAUACGUUCCCGGGCCUUGUACACACCGCCCGUCACACCAUGGGAGCCGGUAAUACCCGAAGUCGGUAGUCUAACCGCAAGGAGGACGCCGCCGAAGGUAGGAUUGGCGACUGGGGUGAAGUCGUAACAAGGUAGCCGUAUCGGAAGGUGCGGCUGGAUCACCUCCUUUG